rfam:Oceanobacillus oncorhynchi strain Oc5 genome assembly, contig: CONTIG000001
CUAUAAUAACAAGCGCCAGGACUAUUCUACGGACGGUCAGGAAGAAUAGUUGACGAGGUCGGGGGUUAUCGAAUUAUUCGGCGGGUGCCUCCCAGCUGUCCAUCGCAGCUGCUGCUUUAUCUUUAAACCAUCAGGGUGACUUGAUGAACAAAGAGAUAAAGAAUGAUGUCU